rnacentral:rRNA from 1 species
UCAGGCCUAACACAUGCAAGUCGUACGAGAGUUUUUAACUCUAGUGGCGGACGGGUGAGUAACACGUGAGAAUUUGCCUUUAGGAGGGGGACAACAAUUGGAAACGAAUGCUAAUACCCCAUAUGCUUUCGAGUGAAAUGGAUUUUAUCCGCCUAGAGAGAAGCUCGCGGCUGAUUAGCUUGUUGGUAAGGUAAGAGCUUACCAAGGCGACGAUCAGUAUCUGGUUUGAGAGGACGAUCAGACACACUGGAACUGAGACACGGUCCAGACUCCUACGGGAGGCAGCAGUGGGGAAUUUUCCGCAAGGGGCGAAAGCCUGACGGAGCAA